rnacentral:rRNA from 1 species
ACUCAAAUGAAUUGACGGGGGCCCGCACAAGCGGUGGAACAUGUGGUUUAAUUCGACACUACGCGAGGAACCUUACCUAGGCUUGACAUGUUUGUGACAGUUAUAGAAAUAUAAUCUUCUGGAUUUCGGUUCAGACACAAUCACAGGUGCUGCAUGGCUGUCGUCAGCUCGUGUCGUGAGAUGUUGGGUUAAGUCCUCUAACGAGCGCAACCCUUGCUGUCAGUUGCUACAUCGUAAGAUGAGCACUCUGAUGGGACUGCCUGGGAAACCAGGAGGAAGGUGGGGAUGACGUCAAGUCCGCAUGGCCCUUAUGCCUAGGGCUACACACGUGUUACAAUGGCCGGUACAAAGGGCUGCUAAUCCGCAAGGACAUGCCAAUCCCAAAAAGCCGGUCUAAGUUCAGAUUGGGGUCUGCAACUCGACCCCAUGAAGUUGAAAUCGCUAGUAAUCGCAUAUCAGCAACGAUGCGGUGAAUACGUUCUCGGGCCUUGUACACACCGCCCGU